rnacentral:rRNA from 1 species
GAUGAACGCUGGCGGCGUGCCUAAUACAUGCAAGUCGAGCGAACGGACGAGAAGCUUGCUUCUCUGAUGUUAGCGGCGGACGGGUGAGUAACACGUGGAUAACCUACCUAUAAGACUGGGAUAACUUCGGGAAACCGGAGCUAAUACCGGAUAAUAUUUUGAACCGCAUGGUUCAAAAGUGAAAGACGGUCUUGCUGUCACUUAUAGAUGGAUCCGCGCUGCAUUAGCUAGUUGGUAAGGUAACGGCUUACCAAGGCAACGAUGCAUAGCCGACCUGAGAGGGUGAUCGGCCACACUGGAACUGAGACACGGUCCAGACUCCUACGGGAGGCAGCAGUAGGGAAUCUUCCGCAAUGGGCGAAAGCCUGACGGAGCAACGCCGCGUGAGUGAUGAAGGUCUUCGGAUCGUAAAACUCUGUUAUUAGGGAAGAACAUAUGUAUAAGUAACUGUGCACAUCUUGACGGUACCUAAUCAGAAAGCCCCGGCUAACUACGUG